rnacentral:rRNA from 1 species
GAUGAACGCUGGCGGCGUGCUUAACACAUGCAAGUCGAGCGAUGAAGUUUCCUUCGGGAAACGGAUUAGCGGCGGACGGGUGAGUAACACGUGGGUAACCUGCCUCAUAGAGUGGAAUAGCCUUCCGAAAGGAAGAUUAAUACCGCAUAACGUUGAAAGAUGGCAUCAUCAUUCAACCAAAGGGGCAAUCCGCUAUGAGAUGGACCCGCGGCGCAUUAGCUAGUUGGUGGGGUAACGGCCGACCAAGGCGACGAUGCGUAGCCGACCUGAGAGGGUGAUCGGCCACAUUGGGACUGAGACACGGCCCAGACUCCUACGGGAGGCAGCAGUGGGGAAUAUUGCACAAUGGGGGAAACCCUGAUGCAGCAACGCCGCGUGAGUGAUGAAGGUUUUCGGAUCGUAAAGCUCUGUCUUUGGGGAAGAUAAUGACGGUACUCAAGGAGGAAGCCACGGCUAACUACGUGCCAGCCGCCGCCGUAA